GUCAUUGGUAUGGCCAUUGGUGUUUUGUUUAAGGCAUGUCUCCAAAUGGAACCUUACAAGAGGUCCAGCUGCUCUGAGCUGCUCGGCCAGGAUUAUUUCACCUUGGACCAUUUCCCUGAAAGGUUCAUCAAAGAGAUGGAGUUAUGGUCAAGGGAGACCAUGAAUGCUGCUUGCCUCCUCAGACUGGUACCCAGCCGACCUCCCCUCCUUCUGACAACUCCACACGUCCCUCGCAGCAGGCUGAGUGUGGUGGAGCUGGUGACUCCCUUCAGUCAGCUCCAGGAUGGGAGCCAGGGGAUGGAAAACCUGGAGGAGGCCCAGGAGGAAAGGGACGAGGAGCCAGCAGAGGAGACGGAGCUGAGGAAGAAGAAGAAGAGGGGCUUCACAGCAACCUUUCGAAGAGCUGUCAAUGCUGUCAGACGCCACUUCACCUCCCGCGUCUCCCCAUGCAAGGCUAAGGGGACCAGCUCACUCAAAUGCUGAAGGCUGUGAGGGUAACAAGCCACUGUUAGCCUCACAGUUACAGCUCAGGCAUUCCCAGUGCCGUGUUGGUGCUUCACAUGAAGCACAUCCCCAAUGAUGGGGCAAAAGUGAGGAAGUGACUGAUGCUGUUAGCAUUCCUCUGUUGCCCUUGUUGCCUCUGGCUUCCCUCAUUUGAGAGCAGGGUGAUGCUGCUGAGAUGGACACAUUGAGAUCAUCCAUCGGGACAUCAUACCGGAAAACCUUUGUUUCCCGGUCCGGUGAAGCUGGCCGACCUGGGCUACAGUCGGAAGGUGCUGAUGAACUCCGUCCAUCUAAAGGGCUGGGCGGGCACACCGGUCUACAUGCCCCCUCGAGAUCCUCUUAGGAGAAACCAAGUACAGCACACCGGUCGAUGUUUGGGCCAUCGGCUGCACCAUUCUGGCCAUGGCCAAACCCCAGAAACCUUGUCGUGACCUUACCUAUCGGGCUCUGGUCCGAGACACUGUUGCCACUGUCGCUACAGCAGUGUCGUUAUCUGGUCCAGUGAAGGUACCUGCCUCUGGUACGAACUCGGAGCCCAAAGAGAAGUACAAGGUGCCUGACAAGCAGCUGGCUGAACUCAUAGAGCAGGCUGUGAAUGUGGUGGAGUUGGUGACUCCCGCCAUGACCAUGCCCCAAGAUCCCUCAGGGGAUUGUUGUCCAAUGCAACGUGAAGAGCUGGAUGACGGAAGACCUAAGGAUGGAUUGGGCAGACAAGUUGUGGUGUGGCCGACUUGGAGCCUUUUUUAGCCCCUGUGCGGGUCUUGUGAUGGACAACAUGUCUGCCCACAACAAAGAGUGAAAUGCCACUACACAGAACUCAAAACCAAUCUGGCCAUCAUUCCGGGACGUUUGACAUGCAAGCUGCAAGCCCUAGACAUCGGUGACAACCACGUUUUCAAAAUCCACGUACGGAUUGAAUGGGAGAGGUGGAUGCAGGAAGGCAUUCACACGUACACACAAUCAGGGAAGAUGAGGAAGGCGAAGUUUGCAGAAGUGUGAUCCUGGGUCCUAACUGCUUGGGGCAAGGUCCCCACAGAAACAAUCGUAAACAUACACAAGAAGACACUUUUUGCCCCAGAAAGCGAUGAAGAAGUGGAAAAUUCUAAUGACGGAUCUGGUGAUGAUGAAGAGGAGGUGGGCGAAACCAGGCUGCCAAACGCAAUGCUCCACCUUUUCCACUCUGACUCAGAGACGUCGUAAUUCAAAGGCUUUUCAGAGAGCGAGAUGUAGCCUAAGCCCACCAACCCUAAAAAAGCUUGUUCAAAGAUUAAGAUUAGGGUAACCUACUAGGCCAACUUUGUAUCAGAGAAUAUUUAGGAUCUUUGUUUGUAAAUUCAUUUUAUCAUUCAUGUGUUUGUUCAGUUGAAUUCGUUAAUUUAUUUAGCCAUUCAUUCAUUUGGGAAUUCAUCAGUGUUGGGGAUGGACUUGAUAUAUUUGCAAUUACAUUGUUUGUUCAUGCUUUUUCUGAGUGAAACGUAUAGCAUCCUGCGAAAGCAUUAGGGCCUAAAUGGUUGGCCCAUCAAAUCUUUGUGUAGACUACUGUAUGCUAUUGUUCCUAGGCUGAUUUUGUGUUUGGAUAAGAUUUUUCCAUUAUUCGAGAUGUCAUUGCCUUAUUAAAUAAUAGGAAAAUAAAACAAAUUGUUG
ensembl:lncRNA